rnacentral:rRNA from 1 species
GAUCCUGGCUCAGGAUGAACGCUAGCUACAGGCUUAACACAUGCAAGUCGAGGGGCAGCAUGGACUCAGCUUCGCUGAGUUUGAUGGCGACCGGCGCACGGGUGAGUAACGCGUAUCCAACCUGCCCUUUACUCCGGGAUAGUCUCCUGAAAAGGGAGUUUAAUACCGGAUGUGUUUGUCUUUCCGCGAUGGGAGCGACAAAUAAAGAUUGAUUGGUAAAGGAUGGGGGAUGCGUCCCAUUAG